rnacentral:SRP_RNA from 2 species
GCUGGGCAUGGUGGUGCAUGCCUGUGGUCCCAGCUACUAGGGAGGCUGAGGCGGGAGGAUUGCUUGAGCCUGGGAGGUUGAGACUGCAGUAGGCCAUGAUCAUACCACUGCACUCCAGCCUGGGCAACAGAGCGAGAUCUUGUCUCAC